CUCAGAUUGAACGCUGGCGGCAUGCUUUACACAUGCAAGUCGAACGGCAGCACGAAAGAGCUUGCUCUUUUGGUGGCGAGUGGCGAACGGGUGAGUAAUACAUUGGAACGUACCGAGUAAUGGGGGAUAACUGUCCGAAAGGAUGGCUAAUACCGCAUACGCUCUGAGGAGGAAAGCGGGGGACCUUCGGGCCUCGCGUUAUUCGAGCGGCCAAUGUCUGAUUAGCUAGUUGGUGGGGUAAAGGCCUACCAAGGCGACGAUCAGUAGUGGGUCUGAGAGGAUGAUCCGCCACACUGGGACUGAGACACGGCCCAGACUCCUACGGGAGGCAGCAGUGGGGAAUUUUGGACAAUGGGCGAAAGCCUGAUCCAGCCAUGCCGCGUGUCUGAAGAAGGCCUUCGGGUUGUAAAGGACUUUUGUCAGGGAAGAAAGGGUUUGGGUUAAUACCCUGAGCUUAUGAC
rnacentral:rRNA from 1 species